CAGACAGGUAGAGAGGUAAACAGGUAAACAGACAGACAGGUAGAGAGGUAGACAGGUAAACAGACAGACAGGUAGAGAGACAGGUAGAGAGGUAGACAGGUAAACAGACAGACAGACACACAGACAGACAGACAGGUAGAGAGGUAGACAGGUAAACAGACAGACAGACAGACAGACAGGUAAACAGACAGACAGACAGACAGACAGGUAAACAGACAGACAGACAGACAGGUAGAGAGGUAGACAGGUAAACAGACA